rnacentral:rRNA from 1 species
CGGCAACAGCUCAAAUUUGAAAUCUGGCCUCUUUGGGGUCCGAGUUGUAAUUUGGAGAGGAUGUUUCGGGUACGGUCCGGGCUUAAAUUUCUUGGAACAGAAUGUCACAGAGGGUGAGAAUCCCGUCUGGAGUCCGGACACGGCCUAUGUGAAACUCCUUCGACGAGUCGAGUUGUUUGGGAAUGCAGCUCUAAAUGGGUGGUAAAUUUCAUCUAAAGCUAAAUAUUGGCCAGAGACCGAUAGCGCGCAAGUAGAGUGAUCGAAAGAUGAAAAGCACUUUGAAAAGAGAGUUAAAAAGUACGUGAAAUUGUUGAAAGGGAAGCGCUGGCAACCAGACUUGCACGUCGGGGUUCCCCCUUGCUUUUGCCUGGGUUACUCCCCGGCGUUCAGGCCAACAUCGGUUUCGGGGGUUGGUUAAAGGCCUUGGGAAUGUACUUACCCUCCGGGGUAAACUUAUAGCCCAAGGUGUCAUGCGACCUCCCGGGACCGAGGAACGCGCUUCGGCUCGGAUGUUGGCGUAAUGGUUGUCAGCGACCCGUCUUGAAACACGGACCAAGGAGUCUAACAUCUAUGCGAGUGUUAGGGUGUCAAACCCUUACGCGGAAUGAAAGUGAACGGAGGUAGGAAGCCGUUAGGCUGCACUAUCGACCGAUCCUGAAGUUUACGGAUGGAUUUGAGUAAGAGCAUAGCUGUUGGGACCCGAAAGAUGGUGAACUAUGCCUGAAUAGGGUGAAGCCAGAGGAAACUCUGGUGGAGGCUCGCA